GGGCUCGCAGCCGUCGCGCCGCUGCGCGGGAGCCUGGGAGCCGCCCCCCCCGGCGCCCCGGCCUCCCCGCGCCGCCCGGUAGCUGUUGAAGCCCACGGCGCGCGCCUCUCCCGGACCCUGCAGGGUAAAAGAAUAUCCUAUUUCUACAUUUGUAUCUGAAAUCAGCGUGUAAUUUUCCGCCCACAUGGAUGAGUGCCAACUUUUGCAUUUCCAGUGCAUAUCCUACGACCAUUCUCCCUGGGAACAUCCUUCAAAGAGUUCAUGCGUCUUACCGAGGACACCUGACCUUUUGAAGCCUCAUAAUUCACAUCUAGAUGUCACCGGUCUUUCCCAUGUUAACAGUUCUGACUAUGUUUUAUUAUAUGUGCCUUCGGCGCCGAGCCAGGAUAGCUACACGAGGAGAAAUAAUGAACAGCCAUAGGACUAUAGAAUCAAACAGCCGGGCUUCCCCUCUCAAUGCAGAGGUGGUCCAGUAUGCCAAAGAAGUGGUUGAUUUCAGCUCCCAUUAUGGGAGUGAGAAUAGCAUGUCCUAUACCAUGUGGAACUUAGCAGGUGUCCCAAACGUGUUCCCAAGUUCUGGUGACUUCACUCAGACGGCUGUGUUUCGAACUUACGGAACGUGGUGGGACCAGUGUCCUAGUGCUUCUGUACCGUUCAAGAGGACGCCACCUAACUUUCAGAGCCAAGACUACGUGGAACUUGCUUUUGAACAGCAGGUGUAUCCCACAGCUGUUCACGUUCUGGAAACUUACCAUCCUGGAGCAGUCAUUAGAAUUCUAGCUUGUUCUGCAAAUCCCUAUUCC
rnacentral:lncRNA from 1 species